GAUGAACGCUAGCGGCAGGCUUAACACAUGCAAGUCGAGGGGUAUAGUUCUUCGGAAUUAGAGACCGGCGCACGGGUGCGUAACGCGUAUGCAAUCUACCUUUCACAGAGGGAUAGCCCAGAGAAAUUUGGAUUAAUACCUCAUAGUAUAGCAGUUUCGCAUGAAACCACUAUUAAAGUCACAACGGUGAAAGAUGAGCAUGCGUCCCAUUAGCUAGUUGGUAAGGUAACGGCUUACCAAGGCAACGAUGGGUAGGGGUCCUGAGAGGGAGAUCCCCCACACUGGUACUGAGACACGGACCAGACUCCUACGGGAGGCAGCAGUGAGGAAUAUUGGACAAUGGGCGCAAGCCUGAUCCAGCCAUGCCGCGUGCAGGAUGACGGUCCUAUGGAUUGUAAACUGCUUUUACACAGGAAGAAACAACGCUACGUGUAGCGUCUUGACGGUACUGUGAGAAUAAGGAUCGGCUAACUCCGUGCCAG
rnacentral:rRNA from 1 species